GAUGAACGCUAGCGGCAGGCCUAACACAUGCAAGUCGAGGGAGAAGCCCUUUCGGGGGCAGAAACCGGCGCACGGGUGCGUAACGCGUAUGCAACCUACCUUUCACAGGGGGAUAGCCCGAAGAAAUUUGGAUUAAUACCCCAUAAUAUUGUUGGAUGGCAUCAUCUGGCAAUUAAAGCUACGACGGUGGAAGAUGGGCAUGCGUCCUAUUAGCUAGUUGGAGUGGUAACGGCACCCCAAGGCUACGAUAGGUAGGGGUCCUGAGAGGGAGAUCCCCCACACUGGUACUGAGACAGGGACCAGACUCCUACGGGAGGCAGCAGUGAGGAAUAUUGGUCAAUGGUCGGAAGACUGAACCAGCCAUGCCGCGUGCAGGAAGAAUGCCUUAUGGGUUGUAAACUGCUUUUAUAUGGGAAGAAUAAGGCGUACGUGUACGUUGANGACGGUNCCA
rnacentral:rRNA from 1 species